GACGAACGCUGGCGGCGUGCCUAAUACAUGCAAGUCGAACGAGAGCGACCGGUGCUUGCACUGGUCAAUCUAGUGGCGAACGGGUGAGUAACACGUGGGUAACCUGCCCAUCAGAGGGGGAUAACAUUCGGAAACGGAUGCUAAAACCGCAUAGGUCUUCGAACCGCAUGGUUUGAAGAGGAAAAGAGGCGCAAGCUUCUGCUGAUGGAUGGACCCGCGGUGCAUUAGCUAGUUGGUGAGGUAACGGCUCACCAAGGCCGUGAUGCAUAGCCGACCUGAGAGGGUGAUCGGCCACAUUGGGACUGAGACACGGCCCAAACUCCUACGGGAGGCAGCAGUAGGGAAUCUUCCGCAAUGGACGCAAGUCUGACGGAGCAACGCCGCGUGAGUGAAGAAGGUCUUCGGAUCGUAAAACUCUGUUGUUAGAGAAGAAUAAGUGCUAGAGUAACUGUUAGCGCCUUGACGGUAUCUAACCAGAAAGCCACGGCUAACUACGUG
rnacentral:rRNA from 1 species